GAAUGGCAUCACGAGGGUUAUACUGUCUCCCCCUUUUAAUCAGUGAAACUAAUCUCCCCGUGAAGAAGCGAGGAUAUUUAUAUAAGACGAGAAGACCCUAUGGAGCUUUAAACUAACUUUCAAUAAUUAUAUUUUACACGUAAGCCCCUGCUAUCAAUAAAUAACCCAGUUUUAUGAAAAUUAGUUUUAGGUUGGGGUGACCACGGAGCAAAAAACAACCUCCGAGCUGUAUGGAAUAAGUUCCUGAGCAGUAAACCACGACUUUAUGCACCAAUAUAUUGACAUCCAUUGACCCAAUAAUUUGAUCAACGAACCAAGUUACCCUAGGGAUAACAGCGCAAUCCGUUUCAAGAGCCCAUAUCGACAAACGG
rnacentral:rRNA from 1 species